rnacentral:lncRNA from 1 species
GACCUCAACUAAUAAAAACACGUUAAAAAUAAAAAAUGCAGGAUGGAGGAGGUGAUGUGGAUCCUCUGAACAGCCAAAAGGGAAGUAAUAAAGUUGAGGUUUUUACAAAAGAAAGCAAUGUCUGUAUGAUUACAUAAGAAAACAAACAAAACCUUGCCUUGCUUUCACUGAAGGAUUCUAGAACUGUGUAUCUUCACUCCU